rnacentral:rRNA from 1 species
AUUGAACGCUGGCGGCAUGCCUUACACAUGCAAGUCGAACGGCAGCACGGGUGCUUGCACCUGGUGGCGAGUGGCGAACGGGUGAGUAAUACAUCGGAACAUGUCCUGUAGUGGGGGAUAGCCCGGCGAAAGCCGGAUUAAUACCGCAUACGAUCUACGGAAGAAAGCGGGGGACCUUCGGGCCUCGCGCUAUAGGGUUGGCCGAUGGCUGAUUAGCUAGUUGGUGGGGUAAAGGCCUACCAAGGCGACGAUCAGUAGCUGGUCUGAGAGGACGACCAGCCACACUGGGACUGAGACACGGCCCAGACUCCUACGGGAGGCAGCAGUGGGGAAUUUUGGACAAUGGGCGAAAGCCUGAUCCAGCAAUGCCGCGUGUGUGAAGAAGGCCUUCGGGUUGUAAAGCACUUUUGUCCGGAAAGAAAUCCUUUGCCCUAAUACGGGCGGGGGAUGACGGUACCGGAAGAAUAAGCACCGGCUAACUACGUG